ACAUGCAAGUCGAACGGAAAGGCCUCUUCGGAGGUACUCGAGUGGCGAACGGGUGAGUAACACGUGGGUAAUCUGCCCUGCACUUCGGGAUAAGCUUGGGAAACUGGGUCUAAUACCGGAUAUGACCACGGAACGCAUGUUUUGUGGUGAAAAGCUUUUGCGGUGUGGGAUGGGCCCGCGGCCUAUCAGCUUGUUGGUGGGGUGACGGCCUACCAAGGCGACGACGGGUAGCCGGCCUGAGAGGGUGUCCGGCCACACUGGGACUGAGAUACGGCCCAGACUCCUACGGGAGGCAGCAGUGGGGAAUAUUGCACAAUGGGCGCAAGCCUGAUGCAGCGACGCCGCGUGGGGGAUGACGGCCUUCGGGUUGUAAACCUCUUUCAGCAGGGACGAAGCGCAAGUGACGGUACCUGCAGAAGAAGCACCGGCCAACUACGUGCCAGCAGCCGCGGUAAUACGUAGGGUGCGAGCGUUGUCCGGAAUUACUGGGCGUAAAGA
rnacentral:rRNA from 1 species